rnacentral:rRNA from 1 species
UACGGGGGGGGCAAGCGUUGUUCGGAAUUACUGGGCGUAAAGGGCUCGUAGGUGGCCAACUAAGUCAGACGUGAAAUCCCUCGGCUUAACCGGGGAACUGCGUCUGAUACUGGAUGGCUUGAGUUCGGGAGAGGGAUGCGGAAUUCCAGGUGUAGCGGUGAAAUGCGUAGAUAUCUGGAGGAACACCCGUGGCGAAGGCGGCUCUCUGGUCCGAAACUGACGCUGAGGUGCGAAAGCUAGGGUAGCAAACAGG